rnacentral:rRNA from 1 species
AACUAACGCUGGCGGCGUGCCUAACACAUGCAAGUCGAGCGUGAACCCUUAGAAUGAAACUUCGGUCGAAUGAAGAGGGGGAAAGCGGCGGACGGGUGAGUAACGCGUAGGCAACCUGCCCCGUACAGAGGGAUAGCCUCGGGAAACCGGGAUUAAAACCUCAUAAUACCAUGGUAUCACAUGAUGCAAUGGUCAAAGAUUUAUCGGUAUGGGAUGGGCCUGCGUCUGAUUAGCUGGUUGGUGGGGUAACGGCCUACCAAGGCAACGAUCAGUAGCCGACCUGAGAGGGUAAUCGGCCACAUUGGAACUGAGACACGGUCCAAACUCCUACGGGAGGCAGCAGUGGGGAAUAUUGCACAAUGGGCGAAAGCCUGAUGCAGCAAACGCCGCGUGAGCGAAGAAGGCCUUUGGGUCGUAAAGCUCUGUCGGGAAGGAAGAUAAUGACGGUACUUCCCGAGGAAGCCCCGGCUAACUACGUGC